CUCUCUCUCUCUCUCUCCCUCUGUGAAAACACUUUCGGGAAGCGUGAAGUUGGGCCAGUGUUUACUCGGAGCCGAGGCCUAGCAGAAGACCGGCCCGACUAUGUGGAGAAGGAAACGGGCGCUCGGGGAGUCCUUGGCCGGGCUCGUAUGUCUCGUGACCCUUGUCGAUGCGUAUCGAUUCCUGAGCCAGAGCACAGCCUCCCAGUUCCUGAGCAGGCAGAGGAGAGCCAACUCUCUGUUUGAGGAGAGCAAGAAGGGCAACCUGGAGAGGGAGUGCAUCGAGGAGCUGUGCAACAAGGAGGAGGCCAGGGAGAUCUUUGAGAACAACCCGGAGACGGAAUACUUCUACCCCAAAUAUGUUGCUUGCCUGGGUUCACACCGCGUCGGCAUCAACAAUCCAAACUCACACGCCAUCCCGUCAGAUCUACGCACCUGUGUGACGGAGAUCAGUGACCAAUGCACGCCACCACCGUGCUACAGGGAGGGUUCAAACCGCUGUGUGGACGGACAGGCGUCCUUCACGUGCGAGUGCAAGCCCGGCUGGAAGGGGCGGCGCUGCGAGGACGACAUCGACGAGUGCUCAGAUCCAGAGUAUCCAGCCGGAUGUAACCAGAAAUGUUACAACUUACCUGGGAGUUUCCACUGCAUGUGUGAAGAGGGCUACUUCAUCAACGACAAAGUCAACUGCGUUGAUAUUGAUGAAUGCCUGAUGUACCCCAGUAUCUGUAAAGACAUGGCUAAAUGUGUCAACACGCUGGGCAUGUACGAGUGCCAGUGUCCCCUUGGUUUCAAAUAUGACUUCCCCUCCAAGACCUGCAAUGAUAUAGACGAGUGCAAGUUGAACGUGUGCGACGGGAAGUGUAUAAACACGGCGGGCAGCUACUCCUGCCACUGUGAUGGUCGUCAGCAUCUGUAUUUGGGGGCGGACGAGCGCUACUGUAAAAUGAUCCCCGUUUGCGUGGACCUGUAUGACUACAGACACCCGGAGAUGCUUUACCUGGGAGAGCAGUUUGCGGGCCUUCCUGUCAUCUUUCUGCGCUACCGUCUGCCAGAGAACACAAAGUUUGCCGCAGAGUUUGACUUCCGUACAUUUGACCCGGAGGGGGUCGUGCUGUACGCAGAGUCCUCGCAGGACUCCUGGUUCAUGUUGGGCCUGAGAGGCGGUCGCAUUGAAGUCCAGUUCAAGAACCAGCACACGUUCAAGGUCACCAGCGGAGGGAAAGCCAUCAAUGACGGACAGUGGCAUGUGAUCUCCGUGGAUGAGUUGGAGGGCAGCAUCAGUGUGAAGAUCAGUAUGGAAGCUGUGAUGAGCAUCAACAGCCCAGACAGCCUCUUCACUUCGGUGAACGGCAAGCUAGAGACUAAGGUCUACUUAGCUGGUCUGCCCAACCGCACCGACAACGUCAUCAAGCCUAUCAACCCUCGACUCGAUGGCUGCAUUCGGGGCUGGAACCUCAUGAACCAGGGAGCGUCUGGGGUCAAGGAGGUCAUCCAGGAGAAGAAGAGUAAACAUUGCUUUGUGUUUGUGGAACGAGGGUCUUUCUUUGCGGGGGAAGGACUGGCACACUUCAACAUUGACUACAGUGAGUGAUUCUGGGAGUUGGAACAUCGAUAUAAAGAUGAACAUCCGCCCGUCCAGCAGCACAGGUGUCCUCUUUGCUCUAAUCCACAACAACACAGUCCCCCUUUCAGUUGCCGUGGUAACACGGGGAGAAAAAGAUGCUAACUUGCAAGUUUUCUUGGACGGCGUCUCCGUGGCAACGCUGGAUUCAGUGAUGUUGUGUUACCCCGACCGGGUGACAGUGCAGCUGAAUGUGACUCCCACGGAAAUCCAAAUCUCAGCUAACUCCUCCACUGUUGCCUUCGUGAAGUCUGAUGCCCUGCAGGAGGCUCUGAAGCAGCUCAACAGCACCAUGCAGAACCCCAUCAGUACAUACAUUGGUGGGAUACCAGUCGAUGUCCCGUUACCUGCCACCCCUGUGACGGCCUUUUACCACGGCUGCAUGGACAUCGCUAUCAACGGCCAGCAGCUGGACUUCGACGAUGCUCUCAGCAAACACAACAGCAUCCGGUCCCACUCGUGUCCCCCUGUGUCUCCCCCUGAGAGUCACCCUGAGCCGACGCUCCCAUACAGAAAGUGACCUGGAUUAACAGGUCAUUAAAAAAGCCCAGCAAACUAGGCACAAUCCCACGGCAGCCCCAUCCUGGGGCAUUUUGGAAAGAUAUAUAUACAUGUGUGUGUAUAUAGAAGUUUAGAGGCGAUGGAAGGGAGGAAGGAACGAGAAGGAAGUGACAAGAAGAGAAGACCGAGGUUGACUAUUGUAGUCACUUUUGUCAACUUUCUCAAAUGGGUUCAUUUUAUGCUUUGUGUUGUGCUUUUUUGCCAUACAGUAUUAUUUUUUUUCUGUCCAGGCAGCAUUAUUCUAUUUUUUUUUUCUUGCCGGUGAGCCAGCAGAAGCUGGAUCGCUGGAUGACGUAGUUGUAGCAGUCUGUUGCUAUGAAUUAAAUACUUUCCAAGACACAUUCAAAAAGAGCGCAGCUCUGUAGCUCACAUGCCAUGCGUUGAAAAGAGGUGGUUAUGUUUUUGUAGAAAAACAAACAAAUGGUCGCUGUUGACCAGGCUUUGAGACCACAUGCAUCCUUUUCCCCGUUGAUGCAUCACAGUACUUUCUCUAACUUCCCUUCAAUCUGGGUUUCUUGGGAGGCAACUAGCAAUUGUGGUGUUGAAAACCACAGAAGAGAAAGCAGAGCCUCGAGGCCCCCCCCCCCGACGCUGUUGCGUUUUCUUGUUUGAAUUAGUAUCCCUUACGGGAGGUCUGCCUUCCUGCAAUGUGGUCUAUCGUUUGAUUGUUCCCAGAACCUGACAUUGCUUUUCUCCAGAUGUUUUACACUUCUCAGCCAAAAGCAGAGUUUUCCUGGUUGGUCCGUUUUCAGAAGUCACCACGUAUACCAGACAAGCAGUCUUUAAUAUAUGAUUUUAAUUGUACUUGUUUGUUUUAAUAAAAUUGUUUAAAGCAA